GUUUGCAGAAGAGUCGACAGAUACGAAGAGUAAACAGGUAACGUCUGUAAAGUGUUCGGCACUGUGCCUGGCCCAUUUCAAGGGUUCACUACAGGAGAGUUAUAAUUAUUUUUACAACCUAGAAUGAGCAUGGGCUUUCAUAGCAAAUAGACUAGUUUUGAACCCUGGCUUGAUUGUUUACUGACCAGCCUGGGGCAAAUUACUAAACUUUUUUGAGCUUCAUAUUCUGUAGAUGUGGCUUCAUAUUCUGUAAAAUGUGGCUUAUAAAUUACAGGGAAAAAAAUUCUUCCUGCCUGCAUUCUGCAUUCCCGAUGUAUACUAAAACACUGCCAACACACCAGAAAAGGGGACGAAGAGAAAAGUAUCCCGUGGCUUAGCUCAUCCAGAGGCUAAGGGAACAAUAAAGGAGGCAGCUAUGGGCCUGAAAGAAGAAARGCAAGAGAUACCUGACUACACGGACAACAGCUCCCAGCCUCACCACAGACGUCUUCACAGCUAGUGAAGCCCCCAGGCCUCCUUUUUCCCAUCACAUCGCUUCUUUGCAAUAAAGCUCAAAUUCAACCCCGAGUGUCACUGCAAAUUGUUUAUUAAAACACAAAGCAAUGGACAGUGAAAAAACAUCCUGAUUUUUUACUUUUUGGUGGGAGUGGGGUGGGGCACGGAAGGGGCAGGGACAGAUGGAGACAGCCCAGAAGGAAAGACAGCUCUAUCUACCCCUACUGCUUCCCUGGCCAGCCAGGUUCAAAGCCCCUCAAGUACAUCUCACUGUGCUGCUGCUGUUAAGUACAUACUGUGGCUACAGGCAAAGAGUUGGUUUGGCAUCUGCAGGGAGAGGAUGGAAAAUCAGAGUAGAAGCUACAAGGGCUACUAAGAACUGACACAUUUUCUCCAAUACUUGGUACCAAAGAGCGCAGCCAGGCCUAAUUUGGAGGGUCAGGCAAGACAGCUUAGGCCAAUUAUGGUUGAAGAGGCUGUCAUGAGCUCAGAAUGGGUACCUGAUGGUAGCCUGGGAGAAACUGAUGGAAGGGAAAGGUAAUGUUCUUUAAAUCCAAGGAGGGAGCUAACCCAGGGUCAAAUUUCUUUUCAUUCCCUGGAUCAUGACACACCAAACAGAGUUGUCAAGAAAGUCUCUUUACUGGUUUUGCCAUAUUGUCUCUCCCUGCCAAUUCUCCCCUCCCACCUGGCAACUCGGCUCUCCUUUCCCGACAGUUGUCCUUUGAAAGGACGGAAAGCGCACUUCAGUUUGUUGUUGUUUUUCCUCAUACUGAAAUAAAGCACUGAAGCUCAAAAUAGAGGUGAGAAUGGAGUUCUUCUUUUCCCAGUGCUAUGUGCUCCCAUCUCACAAGACUGCCUGGAUGUGAGUGGUGCCAAGGCCCUCUCUGCCAACUCGAACAGGCACUACUGUUUCCCUGGCUGCCAGCACAAUCCUGGCUCCUUUAUACUCCUGGGAGGAACUCGUCCCAAGAGAUCCAUCCUGCUCUUUUCCUGCCAACCCAGCCAGUCCCCAACUCAUCUGCUCUUAUCAAGAUGAUUUGGCCACCCAAAGCAAGUGAGACAAAGGCAGCUUGAGAAGRAUAAACCAGAUCAACAGCAAACCACACAUGUGCAAAAGAAACCCACCCUCACUAGGCAGCUGACCCACUGGUGCCAAGCUUACAACGUGAAGAAAUCUAACCCUCUUGCUUCAGAAGAGGUCCAAAUACAGAAAGAGCCUAGCUCAGACUGAAAAAGAAAAUUGCUCUGAUCUCUCUGAAGCAUGAACAUUAAGGCUUCUUUGCAAUUUUCUUAGAGCUCUUUGAUCCCUAAUUAUAUCUUUCCCUACAAGAGAGGAAGAUUUCUUCUGAGAUUCUGAACAGAUCCUGAGUGUUUCUGGUUCUGCUUCAGUACACUCUCACUUAGCCUUACUCCAGUCUCCUUCCUCAGAGGCCACAGCAGAAGGCGGCCCAAAGCAUACUUCCCCUGGCCCAGUCUUUUUUUUAAAAAAAACAGGACCAUUUAUAAGUUUCUCACUUGGGAAAGCUCACCUACUCUCCUAGAUCCUUUUGGAGAGGCAGGAAGGACAAUGUUACAUGUUGUCGCUUGAUGCCAUUAAGGCUCCUCAAGGCAAGAAGACACUUGAAAAGUAGGCCAGCAAAGGGGAGGGGAGGGAUGGGGAAGCAGCCCCAUGACAGGGACUGUAAGACCCCUGCCCGGACCUGAAUCUAGAGGGAAUGCCCACCCUGGCUCAGAGCAGGAGAGGAAAAGGCACUGUGCUGACCGGGGUAGGUUCAUCCUCAAUCCCCAGGGAGGGUAGAGAACCUGCUGAUUCUUUCCUUGGGCUUCCCGAGGUGAACCAAUUUCUAGGGAAAGGGAUCUAAGUGCUAGGACAAGGAAAAUACUGCUGCUGUUUUCUGAAAUUCUCAGCUUAGAUUCUAGAAGUCAGGGCCAGGUCUCCCUAGGAGAGCUAGGGGCAAAACAAAAAGGAAGAGAAAUUCCUUAAAACAGAAGCUUCUCCAGAAAAGACAAAAGUCAAACCACACUUCUAAAACUGGAUCCAACAGUUCCCAGGCACAGAAAGGGGGAGGUAAGCCUAAUGCAAAUUUUACCCCACCUCAUCAAAGCCCACGUGACCUCUAGCGUGACUGUGUCCCCUCAGAGAGAGCAAGAGAACUCGAUCACACCUUUCAACAACAAGGUGGCCCUGCAGGUCACAGCUGGUCUUCCUGGGAGUCUGAUACCAUGGAAGCUUAAAAAUUAUCUUUUAAAUCAUCAGAACUCAGGGUAUCCACUGAGCAGCUUCUCCUCAGGAAGGAAGAUUUUUCAGAAAAAAAAAAAUGGAUUUGAUUUACAGGACAUGGACCCCACAGUUUCUUAAUUUUUCACUCAGCAUGAGUAAGAUCCAAAAUAGUCCAAUUAGAGACUGUGGAUCACUGACCCAAAUCAGACCAGACUACAAGAUUCAGCCUGUUUCCAGCARUCAUCUUUGCAUGGUCUUCUGCAAACUGCACUAGAGCCAUGCUUCUGGCAAAAGGAGUUUCACCCUGGCUAUCUGCUCUUUAGCCAGUAGGGCUCUAUGGACCCUAAAACCCUGGGACGACAUGUGAUGGAAUAGAAGAGCCUGGCCUCUCCUCCCCAACCAGCCCCAGGCAGACUCCCUACAGUAGAGCCCAGCCUCAGUCCUACACUAGUUCAAAAUACAGAUGGAGAACAAACAGUGUAAAAAGCAAAAGAUGAACAGAGUAAUUCUUGACAUGUACAAUAUAAAAAUAAAAAUAAAGCAUGCCCCAUUCCAUCCCUUUAACCUAAACUUCAUGUACCUUUAUCCCUUGGAGGAGCAAAAAAAAAAGCAAAAAAAAAAAAGCUUUCAAGUU